ensembl:lncRNA
GCGAGACGGCAGUACGCAUGUAUGACAUUAUAGACGGCAGUACGCACGCGCGAGCCGCGAGACGGCAGUACGCAUGCGCGGUAUUACGGACAGCAGUACGCAUGCGCGAGCUUCGAGACAGUAGAACGCAUGCGCCACGUUCGAGACAGCAGUACGCAUGCGCGACAUUAUGUACAACUGUACGCAUGCGCGAGUUUCGAGACGGCAAUACGCAUGCGCGAGCCCCCGAGAGGGCAGUACGCAUGCGCGAGUUUCGAGACGGUAGUGCGCAUGCGCGACAUUAUGGACGGCAGUACGCAUGCGCGAGCUUCCAGACGGCAUGCGCUACAUUACGGAUAGCAGUACGCAUGUGCGAGUCCCGAGACAGCAAUACGCUUGCGCGACAUUGUGGACGGCAGUACGCAUGCGCGACAUUAUGGACGGCAGUACGCAUGCGCGAGCGUCGAGCCGGCAGUACGCAUGCGCGACAUAACGGUCAGCAGUACGCUUGCGCGAGUUUCCAGAGGGAAUUACGCAUGUGCGGCAUUACGGACAGCAGUACGUAUGCGCGAGCUUCGAGACGGAAGUACGCAUGCGCGAGAUUACGGACGGCAGUACGCAUGCGCGACAUUAUACACAACUGUACGCAUGCGCGACAUUAUAGACGGCAGUACGCAUGCGCGAGCUUCCAGACGGUAGUACGCAUGCGCGACAUUACUGACAGCACUACGCAUGAGCGAGCCCCGAGACGGCAAUACGCAUGCGCGAGCCGCGAGACGGCAGUACGCAUGCGCGAGUUUCGAGACGGCAGCACGCAUGUGCGACAUUAUAGACGGCAGUACGUAUGCGCGAGCGUGGAGACGGUAGUACGCAUGCGCCAAAACAUAGACAGCAGUACGCAUGCGCGAGUUUCGAGACGGCAGUACGCAUGCGCGACAUUAUGGACGGCAGUACGCAUGCGCUUGCUUCCAGACGGCAGUACGCAUGCGCGACAUCACGGACAACAGUACGCAUGCGCGAGCUCCCAGACCGUAGUACGCAUGCGCGACAUUACUGACAGCACUACGCAUGAGCGAGCCCCGAGACGGCAAUACGCAUGCGCGAGCCGCGAGACGGCAGUACGCAUGCGCGAGUUUCGAGACGGCAGCACGCAUGCGCGACAUUAUAGACGGCAGUACGCAUGCGCGAGUCGGGAGACGGCAGUACGCAUGCGCGACAUUACGGACAGCAGUACGCAUGCGCGAGCCAUGAAACGGCAGUACGCAUGCGCGACAUCAUGGGCGGUAGUACGCAUGCGCGAGCUCCGAGAUGGCACUACGCUCGCGCGAGUUUCGAAACGGCAGUACGCACGCGCGAGACGCGAGACGGUAGUGCGCAUGCGCGAGGUUCGAGAGGGCAGUACGCAUGCGCGAGCUUCGAGACGGUGGCAGCAGAUACCGUGGAAACAACAACUCCGCCGCCUUUUAGCGGACUGCCUGGGACCGUGGGCGCGCAUCCCCUUCUCUCUUUCUUUUCUUGGCAGAGGAUGGUGGGGGGAAGAAGGGGAGACGACAAAGAAAAGCAAGGAAAACUUCGACAAACCCUCCAACCCCGUGCUAAAUGCUUUGGUAUACCUGUAAAUAAAUGAAUACAUAACCAGCAA